GACGAACGCUGGCGGCGUGCUUAACACAUGCAAGUCAAGGGGGCCCAGCAAUGGGCAACCGGCGAACGGGUGCGUAACACGUGAGCAACCUACCGAAAUGUGGGGGAUAGCCGGCCUAACGGCCGAGUAAUACCGCAUACGCUCUCGAUGAGGCAUUUCAUUGAGAGGAAACCUACGGGGACAUUUCGAGGGGCUCGCGGCCUAUCAGCUAGUUGGAGAGGUAACGGCUCACCAAGGCAACGACGGGUAGCUGGUCUGAGAGGAUGGCCAGCCACAGUUGGGACUGAGAUACGGCCCAGACUCCUACGGGAGGCAGCA
rnacentral:rRNA from 1 species